rnacentral:rRNA from 1 species
GUAACAUCAACUGGAGGACCGAACCGACUAAUGUUGAAAAAUUAGCGGAUGACUUGUGGCUAGGGGUGAAAGGCCAAUCAAACUCGGAGAUAGCUGGUUCUCCCCGAAAGCUAUUUAGGUAGCGCCUCGGACGAAUACUACUGGGGGUAGAGCACUGUUAAGGCUAGGGGGUCAUCCCGACUUACCAACCCUUUGCAAACUCCGAAUACCAGUAAGUACUAUCCGGGAGACACACGGCGGGUGCUAACGUCCGUCGUGGAGAGGGAAACAACCCAGACCGCCAGCUAAGGUCCCAAAGUAUUGCUAAGUGGGAAACGAUGUGGGAAGGCUCAGACAGCUAGGAUGUUGGCUUAGAAGCAGCCAUCAUUUAAAGAAAGCGUAAUAGCUCACUAGUCGAGUCGGCCUGCGCGGAAGAUGUAACGGGGCUAAGCA